AUGUACAACACUGUUAGAUUAUUGGUUAGUUUCAAUGUGUGGUAGCAAAAAUACCAAAUAAAGGUAUAUUGUGCAAUAUGUAGAUGGGUAUAUUUAGUUGAUACAUUAAAUAUACAAUACAAGCAUGCAAGUUAGGCCUGCCAGAUCUGGGCUACAAAACUCAUGACAUCACUACAUGGCCUCAAAGAGUUUCCUUGUACAUUUGCUGCUAUGUUGUCAUCAUCUGGGUUUUCGUAGCCCUGAUAAAGCUGGCCCCAACGCAAUGAAAUAUCCAAGACCAAUCACCAAAGGUCUUCAGAGCCAGAGCACAUAAGGAAUGGGAUCUAUUCCCCAGUUUAGUUAUCAGAAUGCUUAGAAGGGUCUGAAACUUCAGCUGGGUGAAAAAUCAUAGCCAUCAAAAUCUCACUUUUCUAGAGGGAGCGCUCUCCUGUUUCAAGAAGAAAUACAAGAAAUUCAGCCUGUCUGGCUGAAUCAGGACAGUAACAAUCACAACCAGAAUAAACAGAGAAGCCCGGUGUGUUUCAAGCCAGCCAUUUUGUUGGGGACUGAUGCAAAAAUAUUUGUUCUUCUCAAUAUUUGCUCAGCUUUAGGCAAACCAAUCGCUGGUUUCCUGAGAAAACAAUGUUUCCUGCAUUCUGGAGCAUAAUGUAGAUCCUUCAAACCUUAAAAGAAAUUGCCCUGCACAAAGAGUUGUUCAUAUGACCUGACUCACUCUUUUUCAGAAUAACAAACUAAUACUCAGAGGUGUCCACGUGAUGCAAUCAUGGUCCACAAGAUGGUGGCCACUACAGUAUAAUCAAAGCUCCGCCCACUUUAAGGUGCAUUACAGGCAGGAGUUUGGAUCACACAAUUGUGGGCAUCAUCUUGACUUUUUUUACUAUACCUGCUAAUAUCUGAAAAUUUACCCUUCAUGUCCUUUUUAGAGCAAAGCUCAGAAAGGAAUGUCCUUUAUCAAGGGAAAACUAGAUCUGUCAAGCUAUCAGUUUGCCCUGAAAGGCUGGAUAUGUUCAUUCUGCAAAAUAUAGGCAUUAAUUAUCUUAUAUGCCAGGCUGUCACUUCCCUUUUCAUUUUAGUUACCUGAUUUCUCCUCCUUCACUUCCCUUUUUUCACGCCCUGGCCCUGAUGACAUUUGCCUAGGGUAUAGCAGUGGUUAUGUUCUACUUCCCCAUCUCCUCCUCUUUAAUCAGCCCUUACCCCAGCCCCACAGUUUAAAAAGGACAUUUCAUAUGCAAAGACGUCACUUGUCUAUGUUUCUAGAGCUGCAAGGGAAAUGUCUCCUUGGGGAUGGAAGGGGAGGGUCAGAUGAGGGGAGAGGAGGGUCAAAGCUCCAUAGGAUGGAAGGGACUAUCCUAGAGAUGGACAUUCCUUCCUAGCUUCAGAGGACAGUGAAAGAAAAAGCUUGAGAGUUACAUCAGAAGGUAGGCAAGCAGCCAGAACUGCAGAGUUUCUUCCCAUCUAUGGAAGAGGAAUGUCACUCGGAGGGCCAGAAAAACAAUUGGGAAGCAAGGAGCUCAAGGUUUUGCAUUCAGCUCUUGAAGGAGAACAUGAAAAUGAAGCAAGGGAAUUUGGGCAUUUCUACCCAAGUUCUGUAGUGAGCAGCAUGGAAUCAUAAGGAUAUUGGACCUAAAAUCCUAUUCAACAUUUUUCUGAUUAUGAAGAGGCAAGCUGAGUUCAGGGUGAAGUCCCUUCAGCUGCUAGUAAAGUAAAGGUACAAUAUAGACAUCUCCGAGGGAAAGCAGUUCUGCUAUUACCAUAUGGCACAUUGAGAUUGUUGGUGCAGGAGGAGGAGAAUAAGCCUGGAACUGCUGCUGCCACACCCAUUUAGACCAGAACACAUCCCCUUCAGCAACCAAUACCAGUUCUCAUGAACAUUAUCCACUUCUUUUCAAACCGUGCUUCACAACCUUAAUGGCCAAAAAGUUAUUUCACAAAACCUGUGAGAAGACAUUACAUGCUGCAUUUCUCAGGAAGAUGUCUCUGUGUGAAGCUGCCAUUGGAUGAUAUUGAAAUAAGGGAGGUAACACUACUUAAACAUCAAUACUGCUAAGGAUUGUCUCACUCAUGGGGCAACAUCAUGGGGACACGGCAGAAAAAAGAUGUUGCUGGGACAUGUUUGUGCCAUGAAUCUGGAAAGGCCCUGGAAGACAGGGGACAUACUGCUAUGCAUUCCACUGUCUUUCUUGAAGGCAUAUGUUCUUCCUUGUUUUUUCCCCUCUGCUAUCUGCUUACUCCAUAUUUACAGGUGUAUCUAAGCCACAUUGUGGUAACCCUCUCCUAGCCAUAUAUAUUCUUCUGAAGCUCUGAACAGAACAUGCAUAAUAAACUUGGAUAAAUUAAAAAAAAAUAAGACAAAGAUAACUGUUUUUUUUCUUCUGUGCAAAGUAGGUGCAGGGAUUUUCAUUGCUG